rnacentral:rRNA from 1 species
GUCUCAGUUCGGAUUGUAGUCUNCGAACUCGACUACAUGAAGCUGGAAUCGCUAGUAAUCGCGGAUCAGAAUGCCGCGGUGAAUACGUUCCCGGGUCUUGUACACACCGCCCGUCACACCAUGGGAGUCGGAAAUGCCCGAAGUCUGUGACCCAACCUGAGAGGGAGGGAGCAGCCGAAGGCAGGUCUGAUGACUGGGGUGAAGUCGUAACAAGGUAAC